UGGGGGAGCGAGCUUGCUCGCGAUGGCGGCGUGUCAGCCACCCCUUUGUUAACUGGCUGACAGCCAUCGCGAGCAAGCUCGCUCCCAGA
rnacentral:misc_RNA from 1 species